AUUUAAUUUAAAUUAAAAUAUUUGCUUGUCAGGUAAAAAAUCUUAUAAAUUUUAAGAGU
rnacentral:tRNA from 1 species